rnacentral:rRNA from 1 species
UAGUACUGCGAGUGAGCGGGAAAAGCUCAAAUUUAAAAUCUGGUGGUCUUUGGCCAUCCGAGUUGUAAUUUAGAGAAGCGUCUUCCGCGCUGGACCGUGCACAAGUCUCCUGGAAUGGAGCGUCAUAGAGGGUGAGAAUCCCGUCUUUGGCACGGACCCCAGGGCUUCUGUGAUGCGCUCUCGAAGAGUCGAGUUGUUUGGGAAUGCAGCUCAAAAUGGGUGGUGAACUCCAUCUAAAGCUAAAUAUUGGCGAGAGACCGAUAGCGAACAAGUACCGUGAGGGAAAGAUGAAAAGCACUUUGGAAAGAGAGUGAAACAGUACGUGAAAUUGUUGAAAGGGAAACGCUUGAAGUCAGUCGCGUCGACCGAGACUCAACCUCGCCUCGGCUUGGUGUACUUCUCGGCCGACGGGUCAGCAUCAAUCUCGAUCCUCGGAUAAUGGCGAGGGAAAGGUGGCACCCUUGCGGGUGUGUUAUAGUCCCCUGUCGCAUGCGAGGGUCAGGAUUGAGGAACUCAGCGCGCGCCUCUCGGUGUCGGAGCGUUUCACGCUCACGUUACGCGCUUAGGAUGCUGGCGAUAAUGGCUUUAAACGACCCGUCUUGAAACACGGACCAAGGAGUCCAACAUGCCCGCGAGUGUUCGGGUGGAAAACCCGUGCGCGUAAUGAAAGUAAAAGUUGGGACCUCCGUCGUGGAGGGCACCGACGCCCGGACCAGACCUUCUGUGACGGAUCUGCGGUAGAGCGUGCAUGUUGGGACCCGAAAGAUGGUGAACUAUGCCUGAAUAGGGUGAAGCCAGAGGAAACUCUGGUGGAGGCUCGUAGCGAUUCUGACGUGCAAAUCGAUCGUCAAAUUUGGGUAUAGGGGCGAAAAMUAAUCGAACAUCUAGUAG